rnacentral:rRNA from 1 species
GCAAGGGUGCGUAACUACGUGGAGUAAUUUGCCGUGAAGUUGGGGAUAACUCGCUGACAAGGCGAUGCUAACUAGCCCGAAUGUGAUUAACCCGUGGUGGGCAUCUCCUGGUUUUUAAUAGUUGGGGACCGCAAGGCCUGACGCUUCUCGGAUAAGCCCGCGGCCUAUCAGCUAGUUGGUGAAGGUAACGGCUCACCAAGGCUAAGACGGGUAGCUGGUCUGAGAGGACGACCAGUCACACUGGAACUGAGACACGGAUCCAAUCACAUACGGGUGGCAGCAGUCGAGAAUUUUUCUCAAUGGGCGAAAGCCUGAAGGAGCGACGCCGCGUGGGGGAUGAAGGGCUUCGGCCCGUAAACCCCUGUCAUUUGCGAACAAACCUUAUGAUUGAACAGAUCAUGAGCUGAUUGUAGCGAAAGAGGAAGGGACGGCUAACUCUGUGCCAGCAGCCG